UUUCCGUAGGUGAACCUGCGGAAGGAUCAUUAUCGAGACUACCACGCUUGAUGCUGGCCGCAAGGCAUGUGCUCGGCGUCUCGUCCACACCUCUGUGCACCUUCGAGGGGGCGUCAGCCGCCUCGCUUCAUACACCCAAUAAAGUCUAGUCGAAUGUAACAUAUAAACAAAUACAACUUUCAACAACGGAUCUCUUGGCUCUCGCAUCGAUGAAGAACGCAGC
rnacentral:misc_RNA from 1 species